rnacentral:snoRNA from 1 species
CUUGCCCGCCUGAUGAAAACAACCACGGAUGUAAGAGUACAAUGUACUCGUUUACCGAGAGCGCAAAACCCCCAUGUGGAUACUCCCGUUGCCUUCCUUCUGAUCCUUUUU